CCCUUAGAUGUUCUGGGCUGCACGCGUGUUACAAUCGGGAGUACAACAAGAUUGCAAAUCCUAGUGGAUGAGUGGUUCUUCGAAAUUUUCUGAAGACUGGGAUAGUUGAUUGAAAUUAUUCAACUCAAACGAGGAAUUCCUUGUAAUUGUAAUUCAUUAUAUUGUAAUGAAUACGUCCCUGCCCUUUGUACACACCGCCCGUCGCUCCUACCGAUUGAACGAUCCGGUGAAUUAUUUGGAGUAGCUCUGGAAGUUGCAGAACUUCCUAUGUCACGAAAUUUUGCAAACCUUAUCGUUUAGAGGAAGGAAAAGUCGUAACA
rnacentral:rRNA from 1 species